ACUCUCUCUCUCUCUCUCUCUCUCUCUCUAGCACACGCCUCCAAAGAGAUAAGCCUGGUAGUUUCUCUUUAUAAUACUGUAAUCAUUAACUGCACUUAGGAACACAUCUCAAGGACGGUAUUCAUGCCAAUAAGGAAUCAGAGACUACUUGGGAAAAGCUGAGGAGAAGCACAAAUCAUACUGAGUAGAAUGCAAAAGAGACAAUGGGGUACACCGCCUUGUACACACUUCUCUGGCUUUUAAAUGCAUUCACUCUUCCAACACAAGCGUUGGUGAAACUUAAUGUGAGUCCCAAAAUUACUGCGGAGUGCGGCAAAACGGUUAUCCUAAACUGCGACGUGUCCUCAUCUCAAAAUGGACUAUCAAUCAGACACUUGGAGUGGUUCCAAAACCACACUUCUUUCUGUAAAGUGGACAUUGAAGGAAAAAUCACAUACAAACAGCCCAAUUCAAGUGACUUCCAUUGUGAGUACAAACAUCGACAAUUGUCCCUCAUCUUCAAAAGACUGAAGCCACUGGGGAGCGGAAACUCAAAGCCUUACACCUGCAAGAUAAGAUCCAACCAUGGAGCUUUACAUGCCGCAACAAGAGUGGAGUUACAAGAGUGUUGCUGGAUCGUUGAGGGUGUUUGGACUAAUGGCCGUCCAACCUGCACCUUCAGAAAUGUCUACCCGGAAGGAGAUGUGCACUGGUUUCACGGCCACCACAAUCUCUCAGAUGGGUCUGUGAAGCAAUCCACUACGAAACAUGUGGACGGAGGGGGUUGGCUGACUAUCCAUAGUGACCUGGAGCAGAAUCAUUCAGGUGUAACCUACAACUGUUCAUUGAAGAGUGCAGCAUCUGGUAGAUACAUUGCUAGUUCUUUGGUUGAGAAUCCUGAACUGGUACAGCAGAAAGCCAGAACACAGGUACUUACAAACCAAGUCAGGAGCGGAGUCCGAUCACAGCGACCUAUGUGGACAAUUUUCUUUGUUUCAACUUUACUUGCUGUCACACUGAAAUAAUGGAUUUUCCAAAGUAAAUCCACAUAAUGGACUUGGGUAAGAUAUCAGUUGUAAAGUGAUUAACACUGAUUAGUAACAAAGAGGUACUGAAAUCCAGGAUAUAAGCGCUCUAAAUUGGUUCAAAGCUGUAUAGUUCUACUUUUUCAGCUCUUAAUAAAAAUAGAGUCAUGCAUGAGUGAGCAGCAUAUACUGGUUUCAUUACACAAAUUCACACAUAACGUCAGAUGUUUAAAGAGUCCUUCUGGCUACUGGUAAAAUUCAGCCUGAAGGUUUUAACUUUAUGGCCACGGAUUAUAAUGUGUCAUUCUUGAAUCAAAUGCAGACCUCAAAAGAUGAGCUGUGUUGUGAAUUCCCCUCAGAUACACAGAAGCAUUUGUGUGUGAAACAUCAAAAAGCCAGACACAGGAAAUCUCCCUCAUGCAAUGGCUCUGACUGUGUUUUGUGGGUGGAUGCUGCCCUCUGGUGAACUAUGAUGAGUGCAAGAUAUGGCAACUGACUGUUUCCGGGGCUUUUGAUGUGGAGGGCAUAAUUUGUGCUCCCACAAAUGUCAGAGUUUAAUAUCUCACAUUUGGGCAAUGAGAACCAAAUCUGGAAAGCUGGAGGACCCACCCAGCGUCAAGGCUAAAACCCUGCAUAGUGAACACCUCAAUGCAUCACUUCAGAUAGGGCAUGAGAGAGGCUUUUUAAUUCAGAAUGAAUCUCAGCUAAUGGUGACACUAAAGCAGUGCCUCACAGGGGCACGUUAAACCUUUAGUAAUAUGCUGCUCGGCUCAGAGCAUACUGGGUGAUUGACUAAGAGGUUACCCUGACAAUUCAAGUGCACAUGGAAAGACAGACAUGAACGAACACACACACACACACACACACACACACACACACACACACACACACACACACACACACACACACACACACACACACACACACACACACACACACACACACACACACACACACACACACACACACACACAGUUUUGACUAACACUGCCUCUGACAAUCUUCUUUUUGUAAAAUAUUCUUUGACUAAUGGCAAAAGUAGUUAUACUAUAACAACAACUACACCAAAUAUUGCACUGCAACUUUAACGCUACUUUUUAAACACAAAAACAAAUGUUUUUUCACAGACUAUGUGAUAACUAUUUCUUUCAAAAUAGAAUUAUUUUUAACAUACCUCUGUAAUUCAAACUUGAAACAUUCACAGUGAUAAGCUUUAAAGGGAUCUGUUUGAAUAGGACAUUAUGACACUCUUUUAAACUUGUAUUUUACAUAUUGUGAUUUUCAAAAGAAAUCAGCUGCCAUUAAUAAUUACAAUACAUAUGCUUUCAGGAGGGUUUCUCAUAAGUAAAGAAAAUUACGAAAUGAAAUUAUUUGUGGGUUUUUUCUGUAUAUUCACGUCAUUAUGUAUGUAUGUAUGCAUGUAUGUAGUUCUUGAUUUACUGUGGCUUUGAUUGUAACUCAUUUCUUGGGGGACUCACACAGCCCCCAACCGCCUCUCAUAAACGUUAAUGAUUGCAUCCUAAUGUAAGCAGAACCCCUCAACAUCAGUCUUUAGAACUUGAAAUAAAAUCAUGAAUAAGAAGCUAAA